UACGAAGGGUGCAAGCGUUACUCGGAAUUACUGGGCGUAAAGCGUGCGUAGGUGGUUCGUUAAGUCUGAUGUGAAAGCCCUGGGCUCAACCUGGGAAUGGCAUUGGAUACUGGCGGACUGGAGUGCGGUAGAGGAUGGCGGAAUUCCCGGUGUAGCAGUGAAAUGCGUAGAGAUCGGGAGGAACAUCUGUGGCGAAGGCGGCCAUCUGGACCAGCACUGACACUGAGGCACGAAAGCGUGGGGAGCGAACAGG
rnacentral:rRNA from 1 species